rnacentral:rRNA from 1 species
UACAGAGGUCCCGAGCGUUGUUCGGAUUCAUUGGGCGUAAAGGGUGCGUAGGCGGCGGGGUAAGUCUGAUGUGAAAUCCCGGGGCUCAACCCUGGAGCUGCAUUGGAUACUGCCUUGCUUGAGAACUGGAGAGGAGACUGGAAUUUACGGUGUAGCAGUGAAAUGCGUAGAGAUCGUAAGGAAGACCAGUGGCGAAGGCGAGUCUCUGGACAGUAUCUGACGCUGAGGCACGAAGGCCAGGGGAGCAAACGGG